rnacentral:rRNA from 1 species
AUUGAACGCUGGCGGCAGGCCUAACACAUGCAAGUCGAACGGUAACACGAAGAACCUUCCUUCCUUGCUUACGAGGGGCGGAGGGGAGUGACAUGUGUGGGAAACACCCAGACGGAGGGGGUUAACUACUGGAAACGGUACCUAAUACCGCAUAAAGUUGCAAGCGCAAGGUUGGGGACUUUCGGGCUUCUUGGCAGCGGCUGUUCCCAGAUGGCAUUAGCUAGUAGGUAGGGUAACGGCUUACCUAGGCAACGAUCCGUAGCGGGUCUGAGAGGAUGACCGGCCACACUGGAACUGAGACACGGUCCAGACUCCUACGGGAGGCAGCAGUAGGGAAUAUUGCACAAUGGGCGCAAGCCUGAUGCAGCCACGCCGCGUGUAUGAAGAAGGCCUUCGGGUUGUAAAGUACUUUCAGUGGGGAGGAAGAGAGGUGUAAUUAUACCUUUGCUCAUUGACGUUACCCGCUGAAGUAGCACCGGCUAACUCCGUG